UAUACUACAAUAAUUAAUAACA
rnacentral:siRNA from 1 species